rnacentral:lncRNA from 1 species
AACAAUCAUAAUCUUCCAUCCAUAAUCAAGCUUUCAAUAACUUUUCAUAUGAUUCAAUCACUCAGUACUCUAAUUACAUAAUCAAUAACUCAUAAAUCAAUCUUUGAUUUAUUCCACAGACUCACUUCUCAGUAUUCAAAAACUAUCCAUUAUUCUUCAACAACAAAGAAAAAAAAAGAAACAAAGAGGAAGCACCAAGCUUAAUCCCGGCUCAUCACUAUCACAGUCUAGCAUCCCAACAAACUUCUACAACUCCUAUAUAAUUGCUACUGAUUUCUAGAUUCUAAUUGUAAUCUUAUAAUAACCACUUUUAAUAAUUGAAUCAAUCAUUUGUCUUCCUAAAUUGACUAAUCUAUGUAUUAUUAAUCUAUUUUAUCAAUAUCUUACAAAAAUGAACUAAUAUCUAUUCUACAUAGCCCCACUCUUAUCUGUGUAGCAUCCUUGCAAACACACAAUUGAUUCCUAU